rnacentral:rRNA from 1 species
AGCCUGAACGCUGGCGGCGUGGCUAAGACAUGCAAGUCGUACGGAGGUAGCAAUACCUCAGUGGCGAACGGGUGAGUAAUGAAUCGCUAACGUGCCCUGGACUUCGGGAUAGCUAUCCGAAAGGGUAGGUAAUACCGGGUGAUAUACCCUUUCCGCAUGGAAGGGGUCUCAAAGGUCCGCCGGUCUUCGGUGGAUGGUCUGGGAGCGGGCGAUUUCGUAUCAGCUAGUUGGUGGGGUAACGGCCCACCAAGGCGACGACGCGUAGCCGGACUGAGAGGUUGGCCGGCCACAUUGGGACUGAGACACUGCCCAGACUCCUACGGGGGCUGCAGUAACGAAUCUUCCGCAAUGCACGAAAGUGUGACGGAGCGACGCCGCGUGGAGGACGAAGUUCUUCGGAAUGUAAACUCCUGUCAGGGAAAGAAGUUCUGAUCUACCCCAGAGGAAGAGGCGGCUAACUCUGCGCCAGCAGCCGC